rnacentral:rRNA from 1 species
GACAGAGGGUGCAAACGUUGUUCGGAAUUACUGGGCGGUAAAGCGCAUGUAGGCGGCCUGGCAGGUCGGAUGUGAAAUCCCUCGGCUCAACCGAGGACGUGCAUUCGAAACCGCCACGGCUCGAGUUCCGGAGAGGGUGAUGGAAUUCUAGGCGUAGAGGUGAAAAUUCGUAGAUUUCUGGAGGAACACCGGCGGCGAAAGCGGUCACCUGGACGAGAACUGAACGCUGAGAUGCGAAAAGCGUGGGGAGC